GUUGGGGUAGGAAAGCCCGUAGUUAACGUCCAACGGAACGGAAUGUGAACGUUGGAAACAGGAUCAGGGUCCGCUUAAGCUUUCCGCAUUCACCACA
rnacentral:ncRNA from 1 species